UACGAAGGGAGCUAGCGUUGUUCGGAAUCACUGGGCGUAAAGCGCACGUAGGCGGAUUUGUCAGUCGGGGGUGAAAUCCCGAGGCUCAACCUCGGAACUGCCUCCGAUAGAGCAAAUCUCGAGUCCGGGAGAGGAGGGUGGAAUUCCUAGUGUAGAGGUGAAAUUCGUAGAUAUUAGGAAGAACACCAGUGGCGAAGGCGGCCCACUGGCCCGGUACUGACGCUGAGGUGCGAAAGCGUGGGGAGCAAUCAGG
rnacentral:rRNA from 1 species